rnacentral:piRNA from 1 species
AAUUCAGUGGCUGGUCUUAAAAU